rnacentral:lncRNA from 1 species
AUCUUCUAUGGAGAUAUCUUGGUAUUAAUUAAUGACUGCUUUAUUCUCAUUAUUCACAAGGAAAAAUAGGGGUCGUGUCACAUUAAAAUUAAGAUUAUCUUAGUUUAUCUGGGCUCUUAAACAAAGAUCAUUCAAAGUAAUUAUAUUUUGAAUUAAUAGAGGUAGGCAAUUUAUCUCGUUAUUUUUUGUUCAAAGACAGAAAAUAAAGAUCAGAAAUAAGCAAAGUUUCAUUUUGAAGAUAGAAAGAACCAAACAAACAUGUCUUGACUUUUGCAAUAUUUCCCUUGCUAAAGGGGAAUGAGGGGACUGUAAAAGACGUGACUUUGCAAAGUCAAGUCCUUUUUAAAAGACUCGGAUCGAAAUUCUUGCUAUGCAACAAGGAUUCAGGUUUGAUUAAUUUUCUGCAAGCGACGUGACAGCGGUGUUUUAAAAGAUUAAUUAAAAUUGAAGCGAUACGGAGCAGGAAUUCAACCUGCAGAGGCGUCCCUGGCGCCUUGGGGGUCUUUGCAAGCGAGUCCCCAGCCCAAACUGCGGGCUUUCCCGAGGCUGGGACGCAAUUCCCCGUCUCCUGGAGAGGAACGCGGAAUUUGGCAGGGCGCCCGCCUGGCCGCCUGGCAUCCCGAGCUGGCCGCCAGCUCUCGGGGGUGGGGACGGGGUGUGUCCCGGGGAACCCGCUGCCGAGGGAAAUGCUGGCGCGGCUCUCCACUAGCCAGUGAGGUCCAGGGUCACGCCGAGAGGCCGGAGGGGACUCCAGGAAGCCUCGAGAAGACGGCCCCGGGCCGCGGCCACUUCUCCGCGGGGAAGUGGACACCUACUUUGCGACCCGGCUUGCGCGGAGCCCCCUCCGGGGUCGCGAGCGUGGGGGUGCGUGGAUGGCACUCUGCGAUGGCGCAUCCACAGAGCUGAGGACGUGGAGGGCGAGCAGAGCUGCGGCGCCCGCGCCGGGGCGGGGGCCUGCGGGGCGGUCCUGCCUUCUGGACUGCGACUCGGGGCUGCGGGAGGCCCUGCACCGCUCGGCCGCCCGGCCCAGUCCUCCUACCUCUCCGCUCACUUUGCCGCCCCAGCUUCUCCCCUCCCCCCGCAUCCCUGUCCCCUGGCUUCUCUCUGCGACGCCUUUGCCCGAAAAGCCAGCAGGAAAGCGUCGCCGAGGGUCUGUCCACGGAUCUUUCGGAUCCAAGUGUUCGGGAUGAGACUGGCCGAUCCGGGAAUCGCAUCCGGCGCCCACACCCCGCAAACUCGUGGGCAGUUGCGGGUGCAAGAGGCCGCGGAGGGGCGACGCGCCCGCGGGAACCCCUCCUUGCGCAUCUCCGGCGCCCCAGCUUCAGCCUAUUCUCGCCCGGACCCUUGGUUUAUUUGGUGA